CAUAGUGAAAGGAUACAAAGAAAGAUCAGCCCAGGAAACAGCACAUGGGGCAAAGUCCAAAGCAAAGCAGGCACAAGCUUCCAAAGUGCUCCUCCAGUGGAGUCAAUAGAUGACAAGCCUGAUUCCUCCAGCAGCAAGCUGUGACAACGCGUCUGAAAUGUCUGCCAGAGAAGCUCAUGUGAGACUUCGUGCUCAAGGUUUAUUACUGGAGCUGGUCACGGAGUCAGCUUCUGCCUAGCACAUACCCAGAUCACAGACUCCCAGAAGGAAAGCAGAACUGAGGAUUGAACCCACAGACAUUCUACCACUGAGCUACAUCCCAGCCCUUUACAAUUUUGUUUUGAGACAGUGUCUUACUUAAUUGCUCAGGCUGGCCUUGAAGUUGGGAUCCUUCUGCACUGGGAUUACAGGUAGCACACUGGAGCUGAAGGAUGAAGUCUAUCCAUUGGCACAGGAGGGCAGAGCAGGGAGCUGGAAGCAAUGUGAGCAGAUAACUUAGUGGAACACAGCUUCUAUUCCUGCCUGUGUACAUCUGGUAUUUUUUAUUCUAUUCUAAGUCAUUCAAAGUAAUGUUGUUUUUGACCCUUUUGACUUCACAACACACUAAAGGGUCACAAGUGCAGCUUGAAAACUAUCACUGAGCUACCUCCCCAGCAGUGGCAACUCCUUCCAUGGUGGGUUCUUGAUACGUUGGCCAGUCUGACCUCGAAUUUGCUAUCCUCCUGCCUCAAUAGCUAGGAUUACAGAGAGGUGAUGGCUACUAGAUCCUGAAGCUUGAGACACCUUGGAAAAAGAAGAUGUACAACACGGAACAAGGGGAUAAGAGGAGCCCCUGUCCCUGACAACAGAUUGGGAUUCCUGAUACUGCCCUGGACCACCUACCUCAGGAUUUUUACUUGAGAAAGAAAGAAAUUCUUGGUGUCUUUCUUUCUUUCUUUCUUUCUUUCUUUCUUUCUUUCUUUUCUUCUUGAUCCUAAUUCUUUCAUGUAUUUCUAGUAGCUAGUUACCAUUUUUUUUCUUUUUCUUUGAGAAAGGGUCAUGCUAAUUUGUCCAGCUGGCCUUAUACAUGAGAUGCUCCUGCCCCAGCCUCCCAAGUGCUGGUAUUAUAGACAAGCACCAUCGUUCCUGGCUUAUAUUGAUCACUGUGAUGCUCUAAAGGGGAUCAUUUUAUGUUACUGUUCUUAGAGUGGAAACCAGCUGCAGUAUCUGGCCUUCUUUGCUUUGUUGGACCUCAGUCUAGUUUGAGUUCCUUUGCCCUCCACACCUCCUCCUUCCUUUUUCUCCUCAGUCUUUUGUUCCCCCAUCCCACGACAAAGCCUCUCAGCCUAAACAGUCACUAUUUUCUCCACCAA